rnacentral:rRNA from 1 species
CAUGAGCCAGAUAGCAUGCAUGUCUAAGCACAUGCCUUAAUACGGUGAAGCCGCGAAUAGCUCAUUACAACAGCCACCGUUUACUAGAAUAUAGUUAUCCUACUUGGAUAACUGUGGCAAUUCUAGAGCUAAUACAUGCAAAAAAGCUCCGCCCGCAAGGAACGAGCGCAUUUAUUAGAAUAAAAACCAAUCGGGUUUCGGCCCGUAAUUUGGUGAAUCUGAAUAACUUUGCCAAUCGCACAGUCCUAGUACUGGCGAUGUAUCUUUCAAGUGUCUGCCUUAUCAACUUUCGAUGGUAGGUUAUACGCCUACCAUGGUAGUAACGGGUAACGGAGAAUAAGGGUUCGACUCCGGAGAGGGAGCCUGAGAAACGGCUACCACAUCCAAGGAAGGCAGCAGGCGCGCAAAUUACCCACUUCCAGAACGGAGAGGUAGUGACGAAAAAUAACGAGACAGUCCUCUUCGAGGUCUGUCAUCGGAAUGGGUACAAUUUAAAUCCUUUAACGAGGAUCUAUUGGAGGAAGGGUCUCUUGGUAA